rnacentral:snRNA from 1 species
UCGUUUUAGUUUCCAAUCCAUC